rnacentral:rRNA from 1 species
UACGUAGGUGGCAAGCGUUGUCCGGAUUUACUGGGCGUAAAGGGAGCGUAGGUGGAUAUUUAAGUGGGAUGUGAAAUACUCGGGCUUAACCUGAGUGCUGCAUUCCAAACUGGAUAUCUAGAGUGCAGGAGAGGAAAGUGGAAUUCCUAGUGUAGCGGUGAAAUGCGUAGAUAUUAGGAAGAACACCAGUGGCGAAGGCGACUUUCUGGACUGUAACUGACACUGAGGCUCGAAAGCGUGGGGAGCGAAC